CCUACGGGUGGCAGCAGUGGGGAAUAUUGGACAAUGGGGGGAACCCUGAUCCAGCGACGCCGCGUGAGUGAAGAAGUAUUUCGGUAUGUAAAGCUCUAUCAGCAGGGAAGAAAGAAAUGACGGUACCUGACUAAGAAGCCGCGGCUAACUACGUGCCAGCAGCCGCGGUAAUACGUAGGGGACAAGCGUUAGCCGGAUUUACGGGGUGUAAGGGGAGCGUAGACGGCGAUGCAAGUCUGAAGUGAAAGGCUGGGGCUCAACCCCCGGACUGCAUUGGAAACUGUAUGGCUGGAGUGCAGGAGAGGUAGGUGGAAUUCCUAGUGUAGCGGUGAAAUGCGUAGAUAUUAGGAGGAACACCAGUGGCGAAGGCGGCUUACUGGACUGUAACUGACGUUGAGGCUCGAAAGCGUGGGGAGCAAACAGGAUUAGAUACCCGUGUAGUC
rnacentral:rRNA from 1 species